AUUGUCGUCUUACCAGACAAGGUUAGAUGUAAUUAUUUGUGUCUAAUACUGUCUGGUAAUGCCGUCCAU
rfam:Scleropages formosus scaffold3484, whole genome shotgun sequence.